GGUAGGCUACUUACUGUCUGUCCGCCGCUUCCAUCUCUCUCCUCCCGAGCUUUGCCCGCCCCUCGGGAGAUGUCCCAUCUCUGCUUCGUUCCCAAAGCUAACCGCACUGAGGUUUCCCCACCCUGGAUGCUCCCUGAAGACGGAGUUUUUGCUGUUAUCCCCGCCCCAGUUGCCAGCCAGAGUGGUACCCAGGCUCCGCGGAGCUUUGCGCUCCUACUGCCCCUCACGGUCGGUCCUAGAGAGACGCGUCGGGCAGAUGCAAACCUCCUGACUCUUCUAGGGGGUAAGGGAAAAAAAGAGAAAAAAAAUCCACCGAGUCAGAAACCUGCUUGAAAAAAACCAGUCCCUGAAGACUUGCCUAGCUGAGGGACAAAGUCUGGAGGCUAGUAGGAUGGGGAAAGCUCUGGGCUCUCCUUCCUUCCUCCACCUACGUGCACUCCACUUGCGCCAGCCUUCACUCACCUUGGGCUCUGCUCUGGUCCUGAAGUCCAGGAUGCCAGGUCGGGGCACCUCGAUGGCCCCGGGUCCUGCUGCUCCCCACACUGGCGACCCCCGCCGCCGCAAGCGCGCGCCGCACUCACCUGAGCCGCGCCUCGGCUGUCCAGCCGGUCCGGCGCCCGAAGUCGGCUCCUGGGCUUGGCCAUGGGCAGCGCCGUGGAGCCCCGGCGGCCAGCGGAGCGAGUUUUUCCAGGACGACCCGGGCCGGAGGGCGAGACACCGGCGCAGGCGCCCGCGGAGACCCAGUGGUGGCGGCGGUUCGCGGCUGCCCUCGCGCCGGGGACUUUGCAGGCGGGGAGGCGAGGUUAUCACCGCCGCCGAGGGGAGGAGCAGAGGGAGGAGCGGGAGCGGGAGGAGGGGACAGAGGAGGCCGGGCCCGAAGGGAGAGCGUGUCGGGCCGAGGAGGAUCGCGAGCGCCCACUGCUGCCCGGUCCGCUCCGGUGCUGCCCCGGGGUCGGGUCGACUCGGAGUCCGGCUCGCCACUCCGCUCCCGGGGCGGCCGGGCAGGGCUCGGGAAAUCCCGCGGACAGGUCCCCCAGGAGACUCCAGGAGAUGCUGGGAUGUAUCAAGAACCACUAGUCUCACCCUUGAAACCACCUUUAUCUGUGAUGAUACCACAGAUGACCAGAGAAAUCCUGCUAGGAAUCUACUUCAUAUCUUUACCAGUAAAAAAGACAAAAACAGUAUAAAUAAAUGA
ensembl:lncRNA